ACGGCGAGUGAAGCGGCAACAGCUCAAAUUUUUGAAAUCUGGCCCCCGGGCCCGAGUUGUAAUUUGCAGAGGAUGCUUUUGGCGAGGCGCCUUCCGAGUUCCCUGGAACGGGACGCCAUAGAGGGUGAGAGCCCCGUCUGGUUGGAUGCCGAGCCUCUGUAAAGCUCCUUCGACGAGUCGAGUAGUUUGGGAAUGCUGCUCUAAAUGGGAGGUAUAUGUCUUCUAAAGCUAAAUAUUGGCCAGAGACCGAUAGCGCACAAGUAGAGUGAUCGAAAGAUGAAAAGCACUUUGAAAAGAGGGUUAAACAGUACGUGAAAUUGUUGAAAGGGAAGCGCUUGUGACCAGACUUGGGCCCGGCGGAUCACCCAGCGUUCUCGCUGGUGCACUCCGGCGGGCCCAGGCCAGCAUCAGCUCGUCCCGGGGGACAAAGGCUCUGGGAAUGUGGCUCCUCCGGGAGUGUUAUAGCCCUCUGCGCAAUGCCCUGGGGCGGGCUGAGGACCGCGCAU
rnacentral:rRNA from 1 species